rnacentral:lncRNA from 1 species
AUGAAUGUCAUUACCUUCAAAAGCCAUCACAGCCUGUGCUGUGUUAGGGUGGCACUGCGGAGAAGACAGUGGUUGGAAAGGAGGGCUGGCAACAAUGAAGUUACACAGAGAUACCAUCAGAUUAUGUCCAGGGCUGGUAGAGGGAGUUCAGCCUCUUGGCACUGCAGACUGUGGGAGCUGGGCAGCCCAUGGG